UAUAUCCCUUCAUCCUUUUUUGUUUUCCUUUUUUGUUUAUUAAUUUGCCUUUAUUUAAAAAGAACAUACUAUUUUCUCCAUCCGCUUCUUUGAAAACAUUUUUUCGAUUCUUAAAUCAACUUGUUUUCAACAUAAAAUAAUAUAAUUAUUAAUUAAAAAUAUAUAUUUUAAAUUUAGACAAUUUCAUAGUUAGAAAAUAUUUUAAAAGAGUGAAGAAAAAGACAUUUGAAAGAAAAUC
rnacentral:lncRNA from 1 species